AGAGUUUGAUCCUGGCUCAGGACGAACGCUGGCGGCACGCUUAACACAUGCAAGUCGAACGAGAGAAGAGGAGCUUGCUUUUCUGAUCUAGUGGCGGACGGGUGAGUAACACGUGAGCAAUCUGCCUUUCAGAGGGGGAUACCGAUUGGAAACGAUCGUUAAUACCGCAUAACAUAAUUGAACCGCAUGAUUUGAUUAUCAAAGAUUUAUCGCUGAAAGAUGAGCUCGCGUCUGAUUAGCUAGUUGGUAAGGUAACGGCUUACCAAGGCGACGAUCAGUAGCCGGACUGAGAGGUUGAUCGGCCACAUUGGGACUGAGACACGGCCCAGACUCCUACGGGAGGCAGCAGUGGGGAAUAUUGCACAAUGGAGGAAACUCUGAUGCAGCGAUGCCGCGUGAGGGAAGAAGGUUUUAGGAUUGUAAACCUCUGUCUUCAGGGACGAAAAAAGACGGUACCUGAGGAGGAAGCUCCGGCUAACUACGUGCCAGCAGCCGCGGUAAUACGUAGGGAGCGAGCGUUGUCCGGAAUUACUGGGUGUAAAGGGAGCGUAGGCGGGAUCGCAAGUCAGAUGUGAAAACUAUGGGCUUAACCCAUAAACUGCAUUUGAAACUGUGGUUCUUGAGUGAAGUAGAGGUAAGCGGAAUUCCUAGUGUAGCGGUGAAAUGCGUAGAUAUUAGGAGGAACAUCAGUGGCGAAGGCGGCUUACUGGGCUUUAACUGACGCUGAGGCUCGAAAGCGUGGGGAGCAAACAGGAUUAGAUACCCUGGUAGUCCACGCCGUAAACGAUGAUUACUAGGUGUGGGGGGACUGACCCCUUCCGUGCCGCAGCAAACGCAAUAAGUAAUCCACCUGGGGAGUACGACCGCAAGGUUGAAACUCAAAGGAAUUGACGGGGGCCCGCACAAGCAGUGGAGUAUGUGGAUUAAUUCGAAGCAACGCGAAGAACCUUACCAGGUCUUGACAUCGUAUGCAUAGCUCAGAGAUGAGUGAAAUCUCUUCGGAGACAUAUAGACAGGUGGUGCAUGGUUGUCGUCAGCUCGUGUCGUGAGAUGUUGGGUUAAGUCCCGCAACGAGCGCAACCCUUACUGUUAGUUGCUACGCAAGAGCACUCUAGCAGGACUGCCGUUGACAAAACGGAGGAAGGUGGGGAUGACGUCAAAUCAUCAUGCCCCUUAUGACCUGGGCCUCACACGUACUACAAUGGCUGUCAACAGAGGGAAGCAAAGCCGCGAGGUGGAGCGAACCCCUAAAAGCAGUCUUAGUUCGGAUUGUAGGCUGCAACCCGCCUACAUGAAGUCGGAAUUGCUAGUAAUCGCAGAUCAGCAUGCUGCGGUGAAUACGUUCCCGGGCCUUGUACACACCGCCCGUCACGCCAUGGGAGUCGGUAACACCCGAAGCCUGUAGUCUAACCGCAAGGAGGACGCAGUCGAAGGUGGGAUUGAUGACUGGGGUGAAGUCGUAACAAAGUA
rnacentral:rRNA from 1 species